UUGUAUAUUAGAUCUGAAAUUAAUUUUCAAUUAAUUGUAUGAUAAAUUAUAAAAAUAUUUUAUAAAAUUUAAAACUAUUUUCAAAUAUCAAAUCCCAACCCAUGUCAACCUAAAACUUAAUUGAGAAUUAAGUGAUCUAGAUUUUAGAAUCAAAGAUCUAAGGCCUAUUUUCAUAAAUCAUGAAUUUAUAGGUUAGCUCGAGUC
rnacentral:lncRNA from 1 species